AGAGUUUGAUCCUGGCUCAGAUUGAACGCUGGCGGCGUGCUUUACACAUGCAAGUCGAACGGCAGCACAGGGAGCUUGCUCCCGGGUGGCGAGUGGCGCACGGGUGAGUAAUACAUCGGAACGUGUCCUGUUGUGGGGGAUAACUGCUCGAAAGGGUGGCUAAUACCGCAUGAGACCUGAGGGUGAAAGCGGGGGAUCGCAAGACCUCGCGCAAUUGGAGCGGCCGAUGCCCGAUUAGCUAGUUGGUGAGGUAACGGCUCACCAAGGCGACGAUCGGUAGCUGGUCUGAGAGGACGACCAGCCACACUGGGACUGAGACACGGCCCAGACUCCUACGGGAGGCAGCAGUGGGGAAUUUUGGACAAUGGGGGCAACCCUGAUCCAGCCAUGCCGCGUGCAGGAUGAAGGCCUUCGGGUUGUAAACUGCUUUUGUCAGGGACGAAAAGGACCGUGUUAAUACCAUGGUCUGCUGACGGUACCUGAAGAAUAAGCACCGGCUAACUACGUGCCAGCAGCCGCGGUAAUACGUAGGGUGCAAGCGUUAUCCGGAAUUAUUGGGCGUAAAGGGCUCGUAGGCGGUUCGUCGCGUCCGGUGUGAAAGUCCAUCGCUUAACGGUGGAUCCGCGCCGGGUACGGGCGGGCUUGAGUGCGGUAGGGGAGACUGGAAUUCCCGGUGUAACGGUGGAAUGUGUAGAUAUCGGGAAGAACACCAAUGGCGAAGGCAGGUCUCUGGGCCGUCACUGACGCUGAGGAGCGAAAGCGUGGGGAGCGAACAGGAUUAGAUACCCUGGUAGUCCACGCCGUAAACGGUGGAUGCUGGAUGUGGGGACCAUUCCACGGUCUCCGUGUCGGAGCCAACGCGUUAAGCAUCCCGCCUGGGGAGUACGGCCGCAAGGCUAAAACUCAAAGAAAUUGACGGGGGCCCGCACAAGCGGCGGAGCAUGCGGAUUAAUUCGAUGCAACGCGAAGAACCUUACCUGGGCUUGACAUGUUCCCGACAGCCCCAGAGAUGGGGCCUCCCUUCGGGGCGGGUUCACAGGUGGUGCAUGGUCGUCGUCAGCUCGUGUCGUGAGAUGUUGGGUUAAGUCCCGCAACGAGCGCAACCCUCGCCCUGUGUUGCCAGCACGUCGUGGUGGGAACUCACGGGGGACCGCCGGGGUCAACUCGGAGGAAGGUGGGGAUGACGUCAGAUCAUCAUGCCCCUUACGUCCAGGGCUUCACGCAUGCUACAAUGGCCGGUACAACGGGAUGCGACCUCGUGAGGGGGAGCGGAUCCCUUAAAACCGGUCUCAGUUCGGAUUGGAGUCUGCAACCCGACUCCAUGAAGGCGGAGUCGCUAGUAAUCGCGGAUCAGCAACGCCGCGGUGAAUGCGUUCCCGGGCCUUGUACACACCGCCCGUCAAGUCAUGAAAGUGGGUAGCACCCGAAGCCGGUGGCCCAACCUUUUUGGGGGGAGCCGUCUAAGGUGAGACUCGUGAUUGGGACUAAGUCGUAACAAGGUAGCCGUACCGGAAGGUGCGGCUG
rnacentral:rRNA from 1 species